CCUACGGGAGGCAGCAGUGAGGGAUAUUGCGCAAUGGGCGAAAGCCUGACGCAGCCAUUCCGCGUGAGUGAAGAAGGCCUUCGGGUUGUAAAGCUCUUUCGGCAGGAACGAAACGGCGGACUCUAACAUAGUCUGUCAAUGACGGUACCUGAAGAAGAAGCACCGGCUAACUACGUGCCAGCAGCCGCGGUAAUACGUAGGGUGCGAGCGUUAAUCGGAAUUACUGGGCGUAAAGCGUGCGCAGGCGGCUUUGUAAGACGGAUGUAAAAUCCCUGGGCUUAACCUAGGAACUGCGUUCGUGACUGAAAAGCUAGAGUGCGGCAGAGGGGGGUGGAAUUCCUGGUGUAGCAGUGAAAUGCGUAGAGAUCAGGAGGAACACCGAUGGCGAAGGCAGCCCCCUGGGUUGACACUGACGCUCAUGCACGAAAGCGUGGGGAGCAAACAGGAUUAGAUACCUUUGUAGU
rnacentral:rRNA from 1 species